UGACCCCAAGUCAGGUGAGAACCCC
rnacentral:rRNA from 1 species